UGGAGAGUGAAGCUCAGGCAGCCCGCAUCGGCAUGGCGUGGUGGUGCCCUUGUCCAAGGCGGAACUGCGCUGGUGAUCUGGUGCUCCGGAUUGGAUUAGAUCAGUGACGGUGACGAGCAAAAGCGGGAUCUUUCCCGGCGGCUCACGCGGUUGGGCGAAGUGGGGUGGCGGCCCUCCUCCUAGGCUCCAGUGGUGGUGCACUCCGGUAGUGGCCGGUGCGCCAGGGCUCCCGCGGCGGCAGUGUUGUUGUGGGUGGUCGCCGGAUCUGGGCGGCCUGAUCUGGGGCUUUCAAGGUGGUCUGGCCGGUGCACAAGAUAUCGGUUGGAUUCUCGUGGGACAGAUCCAGGUGAAAACCGUCUUCGGCUGGUGGCCGGAGCCGGUGAUGGAGACGCCCCGUGCGCCGUUUCCUUCUUGAAGGCAUCAUCGAGGUGAAGCUCCCACCUCAUUCCGCUACCUUCGGGGGAAACCCUUGAUCAGUCGAUCGAAUGAUGGCGGUGCUUAAGUGUCGUUCCCUCGUUGGGGGCAUCAUUCUUGUAGGGGUUCAUCGGCUAGAGGGACCAGUGGACGACUACAACGAUGGAGUGGCGUGGCAUCUGACAUGCCGACAACGGCGGGUCUCGGCGAUGGUCGCAUGUUGAUGGACGCGCGCAGGAUGGUGGCGCUGUCUGGCGUCGUGGUGGCUUCGACGGCAGUUGGGCUUGGCAAGGCAUAUGCAUUUAUCUCUCUUGAAGAUGGGACGGCGGAAGAUGGCGGCGGCGGACUUUUCCAUGUGUGUUGAGGGUCUGCUACACUGGUUGGUGCUCUCGGCUCAAGGCAGCCUGGGGUGGCCACCGGAUUAGAUGGUGUGUGUGGAUGCGCCAGGGCACUCCAUGAGACUUGUAGGUGUAGCGAUUGAGGUCGUCAGGAAGGUGGCUUUGGGUUGAUCCAUGCAUCUGCUUUGUCGGACCGUUGAAUAAUUAAUAAAGAUGGCUGUAUCCAUCGCUUGAUGCAGAGGCCGGGGGUAAGCCUCUUUUUCGAAGUAAAAAAACAUGCCGAUUUAUUGUAGUUUGAGUUUAGCCUAGAUUUUGUUAAGAUCACUACAGAAUUUUACGCACACACACACAGAGAGAGAGAGAGAGAGAGAGAGAGAGAGAGAGAGAGAGAGAGAGAGAGAGUGAGAGAGUGAGUGAGUGAGUGAGUGAGUGAGUGAGUGCUAGUAAGGAAAAGAAACGUGCCUCUUUGGCCAUUCGAAAGCUUUGCUUUUGGGUCUGUAUCGAACCGCUUUUAUUUGUUUUGUACUAAUUUUUGUUGCAAACGCUUUGCUUCAGUUCGCUAAAGCCGGGCAAGCGCCUCCUUUCUAAAGGUAAUUCCAAAGCAGCAGUUGUGUACUAGGAAAAUUUCGUUGGUUAGUCUACCCCCAAACUUCCGUUCCUGUCCCAUUCAGGCCACAGUUGCUAGCAGUUUUGAUGAUAUGGCACGCUACAGUUUCAUGAUGUGGCAUACCACAUUUAGAGAAAAUUGAUGAAAUGGCAUGCCGUCUCAGUAAUCAUUUUCUAUAAAUAGGCAUAACAUACGCCUGUGUGAAUGCCAGCAACUUGUGGUUCUACCAACUAUACCUUCUAUUGUUGAUCUGGUUUUGGAUGGUGCAAAUGCUUGUGCUGGAGGAAUAUGCUUUAUUUUGCAAUAAUUUAGAAAGUGUAGUGUCAUGUUACUAGGUGCUUUGCAGAAAAUCAUCACUAUAAUACAUCCAUACUGACCAAAGAUCGUGCUUUUCUGCAGGGACUUGCUGCUUUCUACAAGGGGUUUAUUGCAAACUUUUGUCGAGUUGGGUCAUGGAAUGUCAUAAUGUUCUUAACUUUGGAACAGGUUAGAAGAUUCUUUCAGUAAGGAUUAUAUAUGAACUCUGCGCUGCAAGGUUUCAUGGAACAAGCUGGGUACAGCUUCUGGAGCAACAGACAUACACAAUCAUUCAGCAUAGGAUUCAGAUUUUCAUUGUACAGGAGAAUGCAUUCUCAUGUUGUAAUUUGAUCUAUUUGAUGACUACGACUGAGCAUGUUGUAAAUUGUUAGCUUUUACCGAUGCCCGCUUUAUUGGGUUAAUAAAUUUGACACGUUAUACUUAAAAAACAUCUGCUUAUUUGUGCAAUUUAAAUAGAGAUCAUAAGAAACUUACUUUAUAAUCUCUAAA